CCUACGGGGUGCAGCAGUAGGGAAUCUUUCACAAUGGGCGCGAGCCUGAACCAGCCAAGUCGCGUGAGGGAAGACGGCCCUACGGGUUGUAAACCUCUUUUGCCGGGGAGCAACGGGCGCCACGUGUGGCGCCACUGAGAGUACCCGGAGAAAAAGCAUCGGCUAACUCCGUGCCAGCAGCCGCGGUAAUACGGAGGAUGCGAGCGUUAUCCGGAUUUAUUGGGUUUAAAGGGUGCGUAGGCGGAGCGUUAAGUCAGUGGUCAAAUUGAGGGGCUCAACCCCUUCCCGCCAUUGAAACUGGCGCUCUUGAGUGGAAGAGAAGUAUGCGGAAUGCGUGGUGUAGCGGUGAAAUGCAUAGAUAUCACGCAGAACCCCGAUUGCGAAGGCAGCAUGCCGGCUUCCUACUGACGCUGAAGCACGAAAGCGUGGGGAUCGAACAGGAUUAGAUACCCUUGUAGUC
rnacentral:rRNA from 1 species